UACGUAGGGGGCAAGCGUUGUCCGGAUUUAUUGGGCGUAAAGAGCGUGUAGGCGGCUUUACAGGUCCGUUGUGAAAACUCGAGGCUUAACCUCGAGAUGUCAUCGGAAACCAUCUGGCUAGAGUCCGGAAGAGGAAAGUGGAAUUCCUGGUGUAGCGGUGAAAUGCGCAGAUAUCAGGAAGAACACCAAUGGCGAAAGCAGCUUUCUGGGACGGUACUGACGCUGAGACGCGAAAGCGUGGGGAGCGAACAGG
rnacentral:rRNA from 1 species